AUCAGAGGGGGAUAACCCGGCGAAAGUCGGACUAAUACCGCAUGAAGCAGGGGCCCCGCAUGGGGAUAUUUGCUAAACAUUCAUCGCUGAUAGAUAGGCAUGCGUUCCAUUAGGCAGUUGGCGGGGUAACGGCCCACCAAACCGACGAUGGAUAGGGGUUCUGAGAGGAAGGUCCCCCACAUUGGUACUGAGACACGGACCAAACUCCUA
rnacentral:rRNA from 1 species